CAGUCGCCACGGUAAUACGGAGGGAGCUAGCGUUGUUCGGAAUUACUGGGCGUAAAGCGCACGUAGGCGGCUUUGUAAGUUAGAGGUAAAAGCCUGGAGCUCAACUCCAGAAUUGCCUUUAAGACUGCAUCGCUUGAAUCCGGGAGAGGUGAGUGGAAUUCCGAGUGUAGAGGUGAAAUUCGUAGAUAUUCGGAAGAACACCAGUGGCGAAGGCGGCUCACUGGACCGGCAUUGACGCUGAGGUGCGAAAGCGUGGGGAGCAAACAGGAUUAGAUACCCCCGUAGUCCCUGUCUCUUAUAC
rnacentral:rRNA from 1 species